rnacentral:lncRNA from 1 species
CCUUCGGUUUGACGGAAAGUAAGGGUACAGGCGUGAUGCAAAAAGUGAAUGCCAACUGUUCAUCUAUUUAUAGGCAAGGGACGCAGCCCAUGUAAAAUUACAUUCAUGUCAUUUACAUUUGCUAAUAACUCUGUAGUAAUUCUUCGAGGUCUGAUUUGUCUUUUCAUCUUUAAGUCGGUUCCCAUUUUCUGCUGUCGUGCCGAAGCUAUCCUGCGCACAGCUUCGUGAUCGCCUUGUCCUUCGUCAUAAUCACCUUUCGACCCGCUCAAGCUUCGUCCUGACCAUGCUUUUGUAUGCUCAUGACCCGAUUCCGAAGACACCUGUUUACAUAUUGCACUUGGAAAACAUUGUCAAAUCAUGUUUUUGGGCCAACACCAUAAAACACACUAACAGAAAAAGGAAGACAUAAUGCUCUAAAGUGCUACAGCUAUUGCAGUUUG